UACGUAGGGGGCGAGCGGUGGCCGGAUUCAUUGGGCGUAAAGAGCUCGUAGGCGGUUUGGCAAGUCGGCGGUGAAAGCCCGGGACUCAACCCCGGGAGGUCCGUCGAUACUGUCAUGACUCGAGUCCGGUAGAGGAGUGUGGAAUUCCUGGUGUAGCGGUGAAAUGCGCAGAUAUCAGGAGGAACUCCGGUGGCGAAGGCGGCACUCUGGGGCGGUACUGACGCUGAGGAGCGAAAGCUAGGGGAGCAAACAGG
rnacentral:rRNA from 1 species